rnacentral:rRNA from 1 species
AUCGAUGAAGAACGCAGCGAAAUGCGAUAAGUAAUGUGAAUUGCAGAAUUCAGUGAAUCAUCGAAUCUUUGAACGCACAUUGCGCCCCUUGGUAUUCCGGGGGGCAUGCCUGUUCGAGCGUCACUUCAACCCUCAAGCUCUGCUUGGUAUUGGGCCGCACCGGCAACGGUUGGCCUUAAAAUCAGUGGCGGCGCCGCUGGGCCCUGAGCGUAGUAAUACUCCUCGCUACUGGGUCCCGGUGGAUGCUUGCCAUCAACCCCCAAUUUUCUAUGGUUGACCUCGGAUCAGGUAGGGAUACCCGCUGAACUUAAGCAUAUCAAUAAGCGGAGGAAAAGAAACCAACAGGGAUUGCCUCAGUAACGGCGAGUGAAGCGGCAACAGCUCAAAUUUGAAAUCUGGCCUUUGGUCCGAGUUGUAAUUUGUAGAAGAUGUUUCGGGCGUGGCACCGGUCUAAGCUCCUUGGAACAGGACGUCAUAGAGGGUGAGGAUCCCGUAUGUGACUGGCCGCCUAACCCAUGUGAAACUCUUUCGACGAGUCGAGUUGUUUGGGAAUGCAGCUCAAAAUGGGUGGUAUAUUUCAUCUAAAGCUAAAUAUUGGCCAGAGACCGAUAGCGCACAAGUAGAGUGAUCGAAAGAUGAAAAGCACUUUGGAAAGAGAGUUAAACAGUACGUGAAAUUGUUGAAAGGGAAGCGCUUGCAACCAGACUUGCACGUAGUUGAUCAUCCGAUGUUCUCACCGGUGCACUCUUCUACGUUCAGGCCAGCAUCGGUUUGGGUGGUUGGAUAAAGGCCUUGGGAAUGUGACUCCUCUCGGGGAGUGUUAUAGCCCUCGGUGCAAUGCAGCCUAUCCGGACCGAGGACCGCGCUUCGGCUAGGAUGCUGGCGUAAUGGUUGUAAGCGACCCGUCUUGAAACACGGAAGGGCG